rnacentral:misc_RNA from 1 species
GAUGAAGAACGUAGCGAAAUGCGAUAAUUAAUGUGAAUUACAGAAUUCCGUGAAUCAUCGAGUCUUUGAACGCACAUUGCGCCUCAUGGCAUUCCGUGAGGCAUGCCCAUCUCAGCGUUAGAAAAUAUUCUCAAAUUUUAGUUUUGUGCUAAAAUUUGGAUCAUGUCAAGGAAGCUAUUACUAUUAUUGUGAUCGCUCUUUGGAAAUUGAUAGGUCUUUGAGUUGCUACUCAUAGAACGUGAUGAAUCUUUCUUCGUUCUAUUGUAAUUCACUCUGGUAGUCCUAAAACUUGUAUGCCUGUGGCAUAUCUUGUAAUUUGACCUGAGAUUGGGUAGGGAUACCAGCUGAACUUAAGCAUAUCAAUAAGCGGAGGA